UACGAAGGGGGCGAGCGUUGUCCGGAAUUACUGGGUGUAAAGCGCGUGUAGGCGGCAGGCCAAGUCUGCGGUGAAAGCGCCCGGCUCAACUGGGCGAGGUCCGUGGAAACUGGUCAGCUGGAGGACGGUAGAGGCGAGUGGAAUUCCCGGUGUAGUGGUGAAAUGCGUAGAGAUCGGGAGGAACACCUGUGGCGAAGGCGGCUCGCUGGGCCGGUCCUGACGCUGAGACGCGAAGGCGUGGGGAGCGAACGGG
rnacentral:rRNA from 1 species